GGAGAACUGGUGUCACAUGGCCUGACUGGUGUAGAGUCCCUCUUCUCUUGACCCCAUGGAUGUCUGUUCUGUUUCUCAGCUAGACUGCGACCUGUGCUAGAUUAUGAACUGUGGCCCGGCUCUUCUUCCCCUCAGUACCCAGCUCAGGGCAGGGCUCUCAAGGCUGCUGAGAGCAGCUGACAAGAUUUCAACCCAAGGCAGGAGACUCACAAUGCCGUCAUAAAGUACAUGUGGAGGAGAGCUGAGAGAAAUUUUCUUCUUACAACGGUAACCAAAGCCAUCAAAUUAUAUUGAGAUCAGAAAUAAAUACAUCCUCUAGGAAAAAAAGAAGUGCAGUGGUUCUUGGCGAUGAUAAAUUGCCCACGAUGUGGAGAUGGGGAAGAGAAAUGGAAGAGAAGGUGCCCAAAUGAGGAGGACAUGGACUGACGAGAGACAGCCAUCAGUAAGGAAGUGGGUUCUCACCAGACGCUAAAUCUGCUAGAACUAUGAUUCGGACUUCCUCGCCUCCAGAACUGUGAAAGGUAAAAGUGCUGAAUGGACCAAAGUCAAAGGAAGUCCCUGGGAUGGGACAUGCUCUCAGAGACCUCCCCUGCAGGAUGACUUCAGUUCAUUAAUCUGCACCUUUGGGACCAGGCAUUCAAUCAUCUUAAUAUCUCAAAGCUCUUUAUGUACCCUCUAUGUCUCCAUUUCCCCAACAGGGAAGGUGAUGGUCAACAUGCUAUUUUAAACCACCAAGAUCCUGCAGUUAUCUGGCCUUGAAUUGUUAUUGUGGAGGCAGCAGUUGUUUAGUGGAAGGCACCCAGAAUCAGUAUUAGAAAUGAGCCAGGGGAGAGACCUAGCUCUGCCUCUUCAUCUGCAUACCCUUCAGUUAGGGUGGAUAGGAGAAACAGAACCGCUAGGAGUGGUUUAUAUAUGCAUAAUUAUAUAAUAAGGGAUUUGUGGUAGGGAUUUGAACUAUGCAAUUGUGGGAGCUGGUUCAGGGGCAUAUGGAAGGCUGCUAUUUCUGUAUAUAUUUCUAGGGCCUGAAGAAGCAGGAUAGUCAGUUGGGAAGAAAAGAUGGGUGCAAAAUAGAAGAAAGCAAGGACACACUGGAAUCCAUAGGAUGUCCUGGGGCCCACGGGAUGAACCGGAAUACACAUCAAUCUCUUGUUACUUCCUUCACUCCAGCCUUGAUGAG
rnacentral:lncRNA from 1 species